rnacentral:rRNA from 1 species
CCUACGGGGGGCUGCAGUGGGGAAUAUUGGACAAUGGGGGGAACCCUGAUCCAGCCAUGCCGCGUGUGUGAAGAAGGCCCUCGGGUUGUAAAGCACUUUCAGUGAGGAAGAACGCCUGGUGGUUAAUACCCAUCAGGAAAGACAUCACUCACAGAAGAAGCACCGGCUAACUCCGUGCCAGCAGCCGCGGUAAUACGGAGGGUGCGAGCGUUAACCGGAAUUACUGGGCGUAAAGCGCGCGUAGGUGGCUUGAUAAGCCGGUUGUGAAAGCCCCGGGCUCAACCUGGGAACGGCAUCCGGAACUGUCAAGCUAGAGUGCAGGAGAGGAAGGUAGAAUUCCCGGUGUAGCGGUGAAAUGCGUAGAGAUCGGGAGGAAUACCAGUGGCGAAGGCGGCCUUCUGGACUGACACUGACACUGAGGUGCGAAAGCGUGGGUAGCAAACAGGAUUAGAUACCCUUGUAGUC